UUUCCAGAUGCUGUGGACAAUAUGCGGCGGACGAACAAGCGACAGACAGCUCUAUUAUCAAGUCCUAAAUUUCGGAAUGAUUGUCUUAUCGGCACUAACGAUCUGGAAGAGGUUAACGGUAAUAACUAGCAGUGAAAGUCCAAUUGUAGUGGUGCCCAGUGGCAGCAUGGAACCUGCAUUUCAUAGAGAAAAUCUCUUUCUAACAGAUCAAGUUGAAGAUCCCAUAUGAGUGGGAAAAAAUUGUUGUUUUUAGGAUAGAAGAAAGAGAGAUUUCUAUAGUUCCCCGAGACUGGAAGAUUCAUGAAAUGCAAAAUGGGCAUAUCAGGUUUUUGGCCAAAGGAGAUAAUGAUGCGCUUAAUGACCGAGGCCUCUAUAAACAAGGACAGCACUGGCUAGAGAAAAAAGAUGUCAUGGGGAGAGCCGGGGAAUUUGUUCCUUAUCCUGGAAUUGUGAGGAUCCUCAUGAAUGACUAUCCGAAAUUUAAGUAUACAGUGCUCUUUUUGCUGGAUUUAUUUGUGCUGGUCCACCGUGAAUAUGAAGUCUGCCUUGCUGUUCCCCGGAAGAUGGCACACUUUUCGUUACUGGAUGUUCGCAGUAGAUAUCGGUCUGGGAUUGGUGGAAUGGGGAACACACGUGUUGGCGCGUCUUGGCAGCACAAGUUUGCAUUAGCUUCUAUUUCCACACUAGGGUUUGUGUGGGUGGGUACAUGUGCACCCCAGAGUGCACUUGAGGGGACUUUGAAUCACAAGAUUUCAAAGUUGUCAUUGUCACACUUUCACAUUUUUGUACGUCAGUGAAUUUUUUAUAUUAAAAGGUUGAGCCAAAAAAUAAAAAACAACAAAAAAG